UGGGAGAGGACUGCUAGAAUCCCACAGGGUAGUGUCAGAGAAUGAGGGGACUCGGUUGUUUUCAAUCAUUAAUAUACCUGUGUCCCAGCAGGCUUUGAUGGUGUCUUAAGGAGAUGGGGAAGUUGGCCUGUUUGUACCUCAUUCUGGAUCCAAGAGACUCACCCAACUUCACCCAGGCGUUUGAGCAUGAAAUCAGAGCUACUUAGAAACAUGUGCAGCCCUUAAGGGACCAUCUCUGUUACUGUGCCUUAGAACUCUGAGCAUCCUUCCUUCUGCUUCAACACUGCUAGACAUCCAACCGGCACUGGGAUCUAUGGAAAAGCCAUGCUCUCGGGGCUCUUCACGUGAUUGAGAAGUGGAAGAGGACAUGGAGAAGAACAAAGCUGGGCAGUGAGGAAGCAGUUCACACUCGGGGAGUGGACUGUAAACACUACAGAGAUUGGAGGAGGCAGAAGGUCAGGGAUGCCACUCUUCAAGCAUCCAUUGCUACAAGUUCUCAAGCCUUCACCUCAUGAUAGAGGAACCUCUUGAUGAACAGCUUCUGUGGACCAGGCAACAUACUAUCACUGAGACGCUGGCCACACCCAACCCGGCAGGCUGCUCUCUCCUCUGCACAGGUGCUUUGUGGAAUGCGUCCUUGAAACCAGGUCUCUAGGACAGUCCAUGACUCCGCGUAGGUUCUUACCAGCACAGAGAGCAGAGUCGAUGUAAACGUUUAAGACAGCCAAGUGUUUAAAAUGUGUGUUAUUAGUAUUCUUCAUCAGUAGUGCACUGGGAGUAAGCAUGUGAUCA
rnacentral:lncRNA from 1 species